CAGUCGCCACGGUAAUACGUAGGUGGCAAGCGUUGUCCGGAAUUAUUGGGCAUAAAGGGCUCGCAGGCGGUUUCUUAAGUCUGAUGUGAAAGCCCCCGGCUCAACCGGGGAGGGUCAUUGGAAACUGGGAAACUUGAGUGCAGAAGAGGAGAGUGGAAUUCCACGUGUAGCGGUGAAAUGCGUAGAGAUGUGGAGGAACACCAGUGGCGAAGGCGACUCUCUGGUCUGUAACUGACGCUGAGGAGCGAAAGCGUGGGGAGCGAACAGGAUUAGAUACCCGCGUAGUCCCUGUCUCUUAUAA
rnacentral:rRNA from 1 species